AUUGAACGCUAGCGGCAUGCUUUACACAUGCAAGUCGAACGAGUGGCGGACGGGUGCGUAAUAUAUCGGAACGUGCCCAGUAGCGGGGGAUAACUACUCGAAAGAGUGGCUAAUACCGCAUACUAUUGUAGCGGCCUCUAUGCGAUUAGCUAUGUGGUGGGGUAAAGGCUAACAAAGGAAACUAUCCCUAGCUGGUUUGAGAGGACGACCAGCCACACUGGGACUGAGACACGGCCCAGACUCCUACGGGAGGCAGCCGUGGGGAAUUUUGGACAAUGGGGGAAACCCUGAUCCAGCCAUCCCGCUUGUAUGAGAAGGCCUUCGGGUUGUAAAGUACUUUGGGCAGAGAAGCGGGAACGGAAGAAUAAGCACCGGCUAACUACGUGCCAGCAGCCGCGGUAAUAG
rnacentral:rRNA from 1 species